UGGAUGCAGAUUGCGGUGAGACGCAGAGAUUGCGGUUAGACGCAGAUUGCGGUGAGACGCAGAUAUUGCGGUUAGACGCAGAUGUUGCGGUGAGACACAGAUACAGCGGUAAGACGCGGAAUUGCGGUUAGACGCAGAUUGCGGUGAGACGCAGAUAUUGCGGUGGGACGCAGAUAUUGUGGUGAGAUGCAGACUUGCGGUAGGACGCAGAUACGGAAACAGAGGUGGCCCUUGAUUUAUUUUUACGCUUUUUUGAAAAGCGGGGACUUAAGGAAGUAAACCUUUAUAAGGAACUAGCUGAUCCAAGAUCGUUUAAAAAGAAAGCUAAAGAAGCAAAAGCUCUCAAAGUAACCUGGAGAGCAGUAACUAGCACUCUCACAGAGAUAAAAACAGAAAAGACAGUGGCCGCAGCCGCCAUAGAGACUUUAGAGAGUGGCAACGCUGGCUGUAACGGCUCCGGGAAAGGAACAGACGGGGUCUUACGGAGCGGCGGGCAGAGACCGGAGUGGAGCUGCUAAACUCGGCAGAGCAGAAUGUUACCCCUCCGACAUCUGAGGGAGAAAUGGUCGCGAACGCGGAAGCAGAGCCACCAGACCCAGGGGGUGGGGCGCAGGCGGGCCAAGGAGACACAGGCAGUCCGGGUGCCCUGCUGAAAGCGGCAGAGCAACGGAGCGGUCCUAAAGCCCAGCCAAAAGCGGCAGAGAGCAACGCCCCCCGCCGAACAGCAGAACAUCUGGCAGCAGAGCGGCUUCUGCGGUUUCAUCGCCUGCAAAGCCAAAGCCAGCCAGGGCUGCCGGAACUCAGCCCCAAAAGAGGGAGAAACACCAAGAAAUGAUGCAAGAAGUAAUCAGAAAGCUUGCUGACUUAUCUACACGAAGCAUUUUGCAGUCUAUCUUUACAGCAGAUGUCCUGUGUUCAAAUUACUACAUCAGCAUCGUACAGUUGUUGUUAACCCCUUCACAGUUCCUGCUCUGGGAACGAACGUGGACUGCAAUGCUGCAGAAUGUCCUGCAACAACAGGGACAAGUCAUCCCUGCAUCACUAACCAGAGAGGUGCCCAGCAAGUGGUGCCGUGCUACAGGACCCCGAAGCAAGAAGGCAAAGUCAGCAUCAGCUCCUGAGGAAAGUGACGCCACUACUUCAACAGCUAGAACUCUGAGACCUCUGUCCCGAGGAGCCUUGGGAGAGGCUGCAGACGUGACUGAGUGAAGGAGCUGAGGACUUGCCAGAUCCACCACUCUCCAUAGCAGGAGAAAUAGCGAGACUCUGGGGCGAAAGUAACAGCUGCCCUAGGUGGUUGCUAGUGACUUGUGGUGGGUGUCGGAGAACUUUCUCCAAAGACAAAACUAAAAAGGAGAGUUGCAUAAAUUUUUGGGUAUAACACCAAACACAGAAGUAAAGUGAAAAAUUGUUUUUUGACUGUCUUGAAACAAGAGCAUUAGCAGACAUUUUCAAUCAGCUGUCUGCCCAUUUAGAUCAAGUGAAAACAGUCAGUUUGGCUAGCAUUUAUGUUUUUACCUGGUACUUUAGCAGCCAGGGCUUAUGCUAUUUUGCAUAAACUUGCUUGCUGGGAGAGGGGUAAGUUAAACAUAACUUUGCAAAUGCUUGAUGAGUUAAGUGUAAAUGUUACUAGUGUUAGACAUACAAUAUUAUAAAAUUAAGUAGCAAUUGACUUUCUACUAUUAGCUCACAGCCACAGCUGUGAAAAGUUCUAAGGUAUGUGCUAUAUAAAUCUUUCUAACCACUCUGUCCUAAUUCAUAAGCAGAUAAGUAAGUUACAUCAAUUAACCACCCAAUUACAGAAAGAAGAUGGUCUCGGCUUAAAAAGAUGGUUAAAGUUACUAGGUUUAAAAUCAUGGCUAGUUUUAUUUGUGUAGCAUUUGAUUACUGUAGGACUAGUAAUAUUGUUAAUAAUAGUGUGCUUACCUUGCCUAUGCCAAUGCUUGCAGAAGAUGAUAUACAAAGUCACUACAUCUGUGACCAAUCAAGUAUUGCUUGUACAAAAAGAAAAAGGGGGAAUUACUGAAGAAUAGUUAGAGGAUCAGGGGCAUGAGUCAUUGAUAGAAUUAUGGGAACUGUACAAGCAAAAGGCCUGCAAGCAAAGGCUAGUGUGAGAAACUGCCUGCAUGAGAAAGCACCUGUGUGAGAAACAAGCCUGGGAACAAGAAGGGAGUUUUUAGGAUGUGCGGCUGUGCAGAUAAGAUGUACUGACCAGGAGAAGGGAGGGUGAACUCUGAAUUCUUUAAUCAUAACAUAACUAGUAGAAGCUUGCCAAUGUAGUCUAAUUAUGUAGAAGCAAAAACGCACUUUGAUAGGUUUAUGCCACUUAAGAGUUAACAAGCUGAGAUACUAUAUAAGUGCCUCUGGAUUGCUAAUAAACGGAGCUUGCUUUUAUCAA